rnacentral:rRNA from 1 species
AGUGUACGCUGGCGGUAGGCCUAACACAUGCAAGUCGAACGGCAGCACAGUAAGAGCUUGCUCUUACGGGUGGCGAGUGGCGGACGGGUGAGGAAUACAUCGGAAUCUACUUUUUCGUGGGGGAUAACGUAGGGAAACUUACGCUAAUACCGCAUACGACCUACGGGUGAAAGCAGGGGAUCUUCGGACCUUGCGCGAUUGAAUGAGCCGAUGUCGGAUUAGCUAGUUGGCGGGGUAAAGGCCCACCAAGGCGACGAUCCGUAGCUGGUCUGAGAGGAUGAUCAGCCACACUGGAACUGAGACACGGUCCAGACUCCUACGGGAGGCAGCAGUGGGGAAUAUUGGACAAUGGGCGCAAGCCUGAUCCAGCCAUACCGCGUGGGUGAAGAAGGCCUUCGGGUUGUAAAGCCCUUUUGUUGGGAAGGAAAAGCAGCAGGUUAAUACCCCGCUGUUCUGACGGUACCCAAAGAAUAAGCACCGGCUAACUUCGUG